rnacentral:lncRNA from 1 species
UCCUCCUCCUCUCAGAGUGUUUUAAUCUCCGCCUGAAGCAGCAGCUGAAGAAAAUCUUCCUCCUCCUCUUCAGACUCUGUGAGGGACCACCAGGUGAAGAUAAACUCCGACACCUGAACGCAUCGCUGCAGGGUGUGUUUAAAGCCCACAGGAAACCUCAGCGCCUUCACUGAUAUUCACUCCUGAGCAUGUUAAUCUGAGUUAAUCUGAGUUAAUCUGAGUGAAAACAGGAGGAAUUAUGAACUUUUUUCUUUUAACUACCGCCUUUUUUAUUUUUUUAGAGAUUUUUGCUUCCUUCCCUUCUCUCCUUCCUUUGGUUCCUCGUCUCCUUUGCUCCUUCCUCUCCAUUAAAUUUGAAUUUUUUUGUCUAAAUUUUCACCAGUAAAACAAAAGAAACAGAGGAGUCUCUCAGCACUAAGAGGAUCAUGGGUAAUGUAGUCCUCCUCCACAGAGAAGGAUGAUUGACAGUUCGGAGGAGUCGCUCUGACUCUGAAGUCGCUGAUUAAACUUUUUUUUAUUUCAUCUUUUUUUUUCUCCUCCAUCACAUUUUUUAGCAGCUUCUUUAUUUUUUCUUUACUUCUUUUUUUUUCUUUUUCUUUUCUUGUUUUCCUUUUUUCUGAUUCUCUCGUCUUUUACUCUAUUUUUCCUUUUCUUACUUUCUUUUCUUUUUCUGUAUUCUCUCUUUUUUCUUUCUUCACUUCUUUUCUCGUUUUCUCUCUCUCUCUCUUUUCCUUCCAUCCUUCUAUAUUUGUUUACAUUAUUUUUCUUUUUUUCUGAUUCUUGUUUUAUUUACUGUUUUUCUGGCUUUUAGUUUUUGUUUCUUUCUUUCUCCUUUCCUACUUUUUUGUUUUUUUUCCUUUUCUUAAUUUUGCCUUUUUUCUUUCUUUUUUUUCGUCUUUUUUUUUCUUUCAUUCUGCCCUUUCUCCUUCCUCAUUUUCUUGCUUUUAUCUCUUCUUUCUCUUUUUCCUCCUUUUUGUCUUUUUUUCCUUGUUCUUUCUCUUUUUAUCGUCAUAUUUUUCCUUUUUGUUUUCUUUUCUUCUUUUCUUGUUUUUUGUCUUCCAACUUUAUUUCUUUUUUCUCUCCCCAUCUUAUUUUCCUUUUUUUAAUGUCUCCCUUUUUUCUUUCUCGUUUGUUUUUUGUUCUUUUUUUCUUUCUUUUUCAUUUUUCCUUCUUUUCUUUUCUUCUUUUGCCUUUUUUUCCUCCUCCCUUUUCUUUCUCAUUUUUCCUUUCCGUCUUUUUCCUUGUUUUAAUGUUUGUCUCUUUCUUUUCUUCCCUUCUUCUCGUUUCUUUGCCUCUCUUUAUUCUUCCCUUUUUCUUUAUUUCUUGACUUCCUGUCGUCUCUCUGAAGGUCAGGUCUCACCGAGGUUCAUGAAGGAGCCGACGGACUUCUGGACUCACCUGUGUGAACGUACCUGAGAGGAAAGGUGGCGUUCUGGUCCGACAGGUACGCCGGAUACCUCACAGAAGAUGAGACUGAAGGUUCGAAGGUCGUCUGAGUUUGGGGUUUUAAUCGCCGCCAUCUUUGGCCUCCGAACCAGAAAAUGACCAUAUAUGGACACGUUUGAGGCUGAAAUAAAAACAGCAGCUGAACACGAAGAGUUUGAGUUAUUCUGCCGAAAAUAUAAGUGUGUGUGUUUAAGUGUGUGUUGAAGUGUGUUGAGGUGUGUGUGUGUGUGUGUGUGUGUGUGUUGAAGUGUGUUGAAGUGUGUGUGUGUGUGUGUGUGUGUGUGUGUGUGUUUCGGAGGAUUAUGUUAAACUUCCUGCUCGGACUGGAACGCUCGCUGUUUGACAGCCGAAGAGACCAAGCUGGCAUGCCUUUACCCACAAUCCCUCUUUGUUCUGCUGCGUGUCAGCGGUCCAAUGGCGGCGUAAGAAGACACGGAUAUGAACUUCCUGGAGUCUGUGAAGCUUCAGGUCUUU